GACGAACGCUGGCGGCGUGCCUAAUACAUGCAAGUUGAGCGCUGAAGGUUGGUACUUGUACCAACUGGAUGAGCAGCGAACGGGGGAGUAACGCGUGGGGAAUCUGCCUUUGAGCGGGGGACAACAUUUGGAAACGAAUGCUAAUACCGCAUAAAAACUUUAAACACAAGUUUUAAGUUUGAAAGAUGCAAUUGCAUCACUCAAAGAUGAUCCCGCGUUGUAUUAGCUAGUUGGUGAGGUAAAGGCUCACCAAGGCGAUGAUAGAUAGCCGACCUGAGAGGGUGAGCGGCCACAGUGGGACUGAGACACGGCCCAAACUCCUACGGGAGGCAGCAGUAGGGAAUCUUCGGCAAUGGACGAAAGUCUGACCGAGCAACGCCGCGUGAGUGAAGAAGGUUUUCGGAUCGUAAAACUCUGUUGGUAGAGAAGAACGUUGGUGAGAGUGGAAAGCGCAUCAAGUGACGGUAACUACCCAGAAAGGGACGGCUAACUACGU
rnacentral:rRNA from 1 species